UUUCCGUAGGUGAACCUGCGGAAGGAUCAUUACAGUGUUCCCUGCCCUUUGGGGUAGGAUCGCCACCCUUGAUUAUUUAUGAGUGUUGCUUUGGCGGGCCUCGCGGCCUGGCCGCGCCCCGGCUUCGGCGGGGGAGCGCCCGCCAGAGGAUUCUACAAACCUGAUUAUUAGUGUCGUCUGAGUACUAUAUAAUAGUUAAAACUUUCAACAACGGAUCUCUUGGUUCUG
rnacentral:misc_RNA from 1 species